UACGUAGGGUGCGAGCGUUGUCCGGAAUUAUUGGGCGUAAAGAGCUUGUAGGCGGUUUGUCGCGUCUGCUGUGAAAAUCCGGGGCUCAACCCCGGACUUGCAGUGGGUACGGGCAGACUAGAGUGUGGUAGGGGAGACUGGAAUUCCUGGUGAUAGCGGUGAAAUGCGCAGAUAUCAGGAGGAACACCGAUGGCGAAGGCAGGUCUCUGGGCCACUACUGACGUGAGAAAGCGGAAAGCAUGGGGAGC
rnacentral:rRNA from 1 species